UACGGGGGGGGCAAGCGUUGUUCGGAAUUACUGGGCGUAAAGGGCUCGUAGGUGGCCAACUAAGUCGGACGUGAAAUCCCUCGGCUUAACCGGGGAACUGCAUCCGAUACUGGAUGGCUUGAGUUCGGGAGAGGGAUGCGGAAUUCCAGGUGUAGCGGUGAAAUGCGUAGAUAUCUGGAGGAACACCGGUGGCGAAGGCGGCAUCCUGGACCGACACUGACGCUGAGGAGCGAAAGCCAGGGGAGCAAGCGGG
rnacentral:rRNA from 1 species